CAGCCGCCACGGUAAUACGGAGGGUGCAAGCGUUACUCGGAAUUACUGGGCGUAAAGCGUGCGUAGGUGGUGGUUUAAGUCCGUUGUGAAAGCCCUGGGCUCAACCUGGGAAUUGCAGUGGAUACUGGGUCACUAGAGUGUGGUAGAGGAUAGUGGAAUUUCCGGUGUAGCAGUGAAAUGCGUAGAGAUCGGAAGGAACAUCUGUGGCGAAGGCGACUAUCUGGGCCAACACUGACACUGAGGCACGAAAGCGUGGGGAGCAAACAGGAUUAGAUACCCCAGUAGUCCCUGUCUCUUAUAA
rnacentral:rRNA from 1 species